AGCUUUACGCAGUGGCAGUAUCAUAGCCAAUGAGGUUUAUCCGAGGCGCGAUUAUUGCUAAUUGAAAAAAAAAGAAAAAGAAAACAUGGCUCAUAUAUAUGCUGUUUACAG
rnacentral:snRNA from 1 species